rnacentral:rRNA from 1 species
CGCGAUUCGCCCUUCGGGGUGCAGCAGGCGCGAAAACUUUACAAUGCCGGCAACGGCGAUAAGGGAACCUCGAGUGCCAGGUUACAAAUCUGGCUGUCGUGAUGCCUAAAAAGCAUUGCAUAGCAAGGGCCGGGCAAGACCGGUGCCAGCCGCCGCGGUAACACCGGCGGCUCGAGUGGUAACCGUUAUUAUUGGGUCUAAAGGGUCUGUAGCCGGCCGGGUAAGUCUCUUGGGAAAUCUGGCAGCUUAACUGUCAGGCUUUCAGGAGAUACUGCCUGGCUCGAGGCCGGGAGAGGUGAGAGGUACUUCAGGGGUAGGGGUGAAAUCUUGUAAUCCUUGAAGGACCACCAGUGGCGAAGGCGUCUCACCAGAACGGACCUGACGGCAAGGGACGAAAGCUAGGGGCACGAACCGGAUUAGAUACCCGGGUAGUCCUAGCCGUAAACGAUACUCGCUAGGUGUCGGCCACGGUGCGACCGUGGUCGGUGCCGUAAGGAAGCCGUGAAGCGAGCCACCUGGGAAGUACGGCCGCAAGGCUGAAACUUAAAGGAAUUGGCGGGGGAGCAC